UACGGGAGGCAGCAGUGGGGAAUUUUCCGCAAUGGGCGAAAGCCUGACGGAGCAAUACCGCGUGAGGGAAGACUGCCUAUGGGUUGUAAACCUCUUUUUUCAGGGAGGAAUAAAAUGACGUGUACCUGAAGAAUAAGCAUCGGCUAACUCCGUGCCAGCAGCCGCGGUAAGACGGAGGAUGCAAGUGUUAUCCGGAAUCACUGGGCGUAAAGCGUCUGUAGGUGGCUUAAUAAGUCAACUGUUAAAUCUUGAGGCUCAACUUCAAAAUCGCAGUCGAAACUAUUAGACUAGAGUAUAGUAGAGGUAAAGGGAAUUUCCAGUGGAGCGGUGAAAUGCGUAGAUAUUGGAAAGAACACCGAUGGCGAAAGCACUUUACUGGGCUAUUACUAACACUCAGAGACGAAAGCUAGGGUAGCAAAUGGGAUUAGAUACCCCAGUAGUCCUAGCCGUAAACUAUGGAUACUAGAU
rnacentral:rRNA from 2 species